GGCUUCUCUUGUUGCAGAGCAUGGGCUCUAGGCACGCAGGCUUCAGUAGUUGGCACACGGGCUCAGUAGUUGUGGCUCGUGGGCUCUAGAGCGCAGGCUCAGUAGUUGUGGCACAUGGGCUUAGUUGCUCUGCCGCAUGUGGGAUCUUCCAGGACCAGGGCUCGAACCUGUGUCCCCUGCGUUGGCAGGCGGAUUCUCAACCACUGCGCCACCAGGGAAGUCCCAGGACCUUUGUUUGUUAAACACCAGAUUUUCAGCAACCAUCUAAGGCAUCGCCCCGAGCCAGAUGAUGCUCAGAGAGGUUAAGCGGCAUGCUCAAGGUCAUGCAGCCAGGAAGUGGUGGAGUCCAGACUCAAAGCCAGGUCUGCCUGGGUCUGAAGUUCACUCCCCUUAACCUGCCCAGAGUUUUUUCCUCCUUGGCAGCCAGGUGCUCAUCCCUGAUAUCAACAGGUCAAGGAGAAAGGAAACGGCAGGGGCACAUCUUUAGAAUUCACCGUGGGCUCCUUCCUCAAGAGUCUG